GCCGGCGUGGCGGAAUUGGCAGACGCGCUAGACUCAAAAUCUGGUACUCGUAAGAGUGUGUGGGUUCGAGCCCCUCCGCCGGUA
rnacentral:tRNA from 2 species